rnacentral:rRNA from 1 species
AUUGAACGCUGGCGGAAUGCUUUACACAUGCAAGUCGAACGGCAGCACGGGGGCAGCCCUGGUGGCGAGUGGCGAACGGGUGAGUAAAACAUCGGAACGUGCCCGGUCGUGGGGGAUAACGUAGCGAAAGUUACGCUAAUACCGCAUACGAUCUGAGGAUGAAAGCGGGGGACCUUCGGGCCUCGCGCGAUCGGAGCGGCCGAUGUCAGAUUAGGUAGUUGGUGGGGUAAAGGCCUACCAAGCCGACGAUCUGUAGCUGGUCUGAGAGGACGACCAGCCACACUGGGACUGAGACACGGCCCAGACUCCUACGGGAGGCAGCAGUGGGGAAUUUUGGACAAUGGGCGCAAGCCUGAUCCAGCCAUUCCGCGUGCAGGACGAAGGCCUUCGGGUUGUAAACUGCUUUUGUACGGAACGAAAAGGCUCUGGCUAAUACCUGGGGCUCAUGACGGUACCGUAAGAAUAAGCACCGGCUAACUACGUG